rnacentral:rRNA from 1 species
CCUACGGGAGGCAGCAGUGGGGAAUAUUGGACAAUGGGCGAAAGCCUGAUCCAGCAAUGCCGCGUGAGUGAUGAAGGCCUUAGGGUUGUAAAGCUCUUUUACCAGGGAUGAUAAUGACAGUACCUGGAGAAUAAGCUCCGGCUAACUCCGUGCCAGCAGCCGCGGUAAUACGGAGGGAGCUAGCGUUGUUCGGAAUUACUGGGCGUAAAGCGUACGUAGGCGGUUAUUCAAGUCAGAGGUGAAAGCCUGGAGCUCAACUCCAGAACUGCCUUUGAAACUAGAUAGCUAGAAUCUUGGAGAGGUGAGUGGAAUUCCGAGUGUAGAGGUGAAAUUCGUAGAUAUUCGGAAGAACACCAGUGGCGAAGGCGACUCACUGGACAAGUAUUGACGCUGAGGUACGAAAGCGUGGGGAGCAAACAGGAUUAGAUACCCUGGUAGUCCACGCCGUAAACGAUGAUAACUAGCUGUUCGGGCUCUACGAGCUUGAGUGGCGCNGCUACGACAUUAAGUUAGUCCGUCCGUCGGGUAGGUACGGUCGCGAGAAGUUAAACGUUAAAGUUAGUUAAGUUAGUACGGUUCGUUGAGACGUUGCCGACGGACGACGACGAGGGAGGAGG